GCUUGCGGUGGCUCCCCAGAAAAGUCAGAACUGGGACCAGGCCUCUGGCAGUGCGCCCGCCCUGGCCCUGGGGACCUGGGGCCUACAGAUCAGAGGAGCUGAGAGCGCAUCCUGGCCCGGUCUCCCUCUCAUCUGGCUGCACAAGCAUGUUGUCCCCAGCACAAUCCUGGUGUGUCCCCUCAUUCCAUGAUCACCAGCCUUCGGCAGUCCCCUCCUCAGGAAGUCUGCCUUUGAGACUUCUCAGCCUGCACCAGCUUUCCUGGCCGCCCUGCCACUCAGUGCCUCACCCUAGACUUGUUCUCUCCUACAGCCAGGAACCUGCCCUCCUGGCAGCCUCAUUUCCUGGCCUUUAAGUUGAGCCCUGGCUGGUGUGGCUCGGUUGGAGUGGCAUCCUGUAUACCAGAAGGUCACGGGUUCGAGUACCAGUUGGCACAUACCUAGGUUACAGGUUCAAUGCCCUGUCAGGGUGGGUACAGGAGGAAACUGAUCGAUGUCUCUCACAUUGAUGCUUCUCUCUCUCUCUCCCUUCUUCCCUCUCU